GGACCCGCACAAGUAGUGGAGCAUGUGGUUUAAUUCGAAGAUACGCGCAGAACCUUACCAACACUUGACAUGUUCGUCGCGACUUUAAGAGAUUAAAGUUUUCGGUUCGGCCGGACGAAACACAGGUGCUGCAUGGCUGUCGUCAGCUCGUGUCGUGAGAUGUUGGGUUAAGUCCCGCAACGAGCGCAACCCUCACUUUUAGUUGCCAUCAUUAAGUUGGGCACUCUGAAAGAACUGCCAGUGAUAAGCUGGAGGAAGGUGGGGAUGACGUCAAGUCCUCAUGGCCCUUACGUGUUGGGCUACACACGUGCUACAAUGGUAUCUACAACAGGAAGCAAGACUGCGAAGUUAAGCAAAUCCUUAAAAGAUACCUCAGUUCGGAUUGCACUCUGCAACUCGAGUGCAUGAAGCUGGAAUUACUAGUAAUCGUGGAUC
rnacentral:rRNA from 1 species